UUGGAGGGCAAGUCUGGUGCCAGCAGCCGCGGUAAUUCCAGCUCCAAUAGCGUAUAUUAAAGUUGUUGCAGUUAAAAAGCUCGUAGUUGAAUUUCGAGACCGGUUUACUGGUCGUGCCUUUGUACGUACUGGUAUUAUUGGUUUCUCCUUUCUGACGAACUAUAAUGCCACUAAUUUGGUGUUUCAGGGAAUCAGGACUGUUACUUUGAAAAAAUUAGAGUGUUUAAAGCAGGCUCACGCUUGAAUACAUCAGCAUGGAAUAACGGAAUAGGACGUUUGACUCUAUUUUGUUGGUUUCUAGGAUCGACGUAAUGAUUAAUAGGGAUAGUUGGGGGCAUUAGUAUUCAAUUGUCAGAGGUGAAAUUCUUGGAUUUAUUGAAGACUAACUACUGCGAAAGCAUUUGCCAAGGAUGUUUUCAUUAAUCAAGAACGAAAGUUAGGGGAUCGAAGACGACCAGAUACCGUCGUAGUCUUAACCAUAAACUAUGCCGACUAGGGAUCGGAUGAUGUUAAUUUUUUAAUGGCUCAUUCGGCGCCUUACGGGAAAC
rnacentral:rRNA from 1 species